GCCAGGUGCAGUAGCUCCUGCCUAUAAUCCCAGCACUUUGGGAGGCCAAGGUGGGUGGAUCAGGAGGUCAAGAGAUCGAGACCAUCCUGGCUAACAUGGUGAAACCCCGUCUCCACUAAAAAUACAAAAANUUUUUGUAUUUUUAGUGGAGACGGGGUUUCACCAUGUUAGCCAGGAUGGUCUCGAUCUCUUGACCUCCUGAUCCACCCACCUU
rnacentral:SRP_RNA from 1 species